UUUUGGAGUAGAUGGAGAUGGCAUAAAAACAUCUUAGUAUAUACCUGCAGAUGGCUUUCUAGGAAAAAACAAACAAACAAAACAAACGUGUUAGUAUGUACUCACUUUGUUACAGAAUCUCAAGUAACAAUUUUACUGGUGUUCUUGAAAAGCAAAUUGUAUCUUUGCUUUAUUCCCCUGAAUUGUUACAACUAUAUCUUGAAGUAACAUUUUAAAAGAGCUCUUUUAAAAAUAGGCUUUAAACCUGGCCAGCGGAAAGUUUUAUUUACCUGUUUCAAGAGGAAUGAUAAACGUGAAGUAAAAGUUGCCCAGUUGGCUGGCUCUGUUGCUGAGAUGUCGGCUUAUCAUCAUGGAGAACAAGCAUUGAUGAUGACUAUUGUGAAUUUGGCUCAGAACUUUGUGGGAAGUAACAACAUUAACUUGCUUCAGCCUAUUGGUCAGUUUGGAACUC
rnacentral:lncRNA from 1 species